CGGACGGGUGAGUAACACGUGGAUAACCUACCUAUAAGACUGGGAUAACUUCGGGAAACCGGAGCUAAUACCGGAUAAUAUAUUGAACCGCAUGGUUCAAUAGUGAAAGACGGUUUUGCUGUCACUUAUAGAUGGAUCCGCGCUGCAUUGGCUAGUUGGUAAGGUAACGGCUUACCAAGGCAACGAUGCGUAGCCGACCUGAGAGGGUGAUCGGCCACACUGGAACUGAGACACGGUCCAGACUCCUACGGGAGGCAGCAGUA
rnacentral:rRNA from 1 species